rnacentral:rRNA from 1 species
UACGGAAGGCAGCAGUGGGGAAUAUUGCACAAUGGGCGCAAGCCUGAUACAGCCAUGCCGCGUGUAUGAAAAAGGCCUUCGGGUUGUAAAGUACUUUCAGUCGUGAGGAAGGUGUUAAGGUUAAUAACCUUAGCAAUUGACGUUAGCGACAGAAGAAGCACCGGCUAACUCCGUGCCAGCAGCCGCGGUAAUACGGAGGGUGCGAGCGUUAAUCGGAAUUACUGGGCGUAAAGGGCACGCAGGCGGUUAAUUAAGUUGGAUGUGAAAUCCCCGGGCUUAACCUGGGAAUGGCAUUCAAGACUGGUUAGCUAGAGUCUUGUAGAGGGGGUAGAAUUCCAUGUGUAGCGGUGAAAUGCGUAGAGAUGUGGAGGAAUACCGGGUGGCGAAGGGCGGCCCCUGGGACAAAGACUGACGCUCAUGUGCGAAAGCGUGGGGAGCAAACAGGGAUUAGAUACC